rnacentral:rRNA from 1 species
AUGCAAGUCGAACGGUGAUGAAGAGCUUGCUCUUUUGAUCAGUGGCGAACGGGUGAGUAACACGUGAGCAACCUACCCUUGACUCUGGGAUAACAGUUGGAAACAGCUGCUAAUACCGGAUAUGAACUCAGCGGGCAUCUGCUGGGUUGGAAAGCUCCGACGGUCAGGGAUGGGCUCGCGGCCUAUCAGCUUGUUGGUGAGGUAAUGGCUCACCAAGGCGACGACGGGUAGCCGGCCUGAGAGGGCGACCGGCCACACUGGGACUGAGAUACGGCCCAGACUCCUACGGGAGGCAGCAGUGGGGAAUAUUGCGCAAUGGGCGAAAGCCUGACGCAGCAACGCCGCGUGCGGGAUGACGGCCUUCGGGUUGUAAACCGCUUUCAGCAGGGACGAAACUGACGGUACCUGCAGAAGAAGCACCGGCUAACUACGUGCCAGCAGCCGCGGUGAUACGUAGGGUGCGAGCGUUGUCCGGAAUUAUUGGGCGUAAAGAGCUCGUAGGCGGUCUGUCGCGUCGGAAGUGAAAACUCGGGGCUUAACCCCGAGCCUGCUUUCGAUACGGGCAGACUUGAGGAAUGUAGGGGAGAACGGAAUUCCUGGUGGAGCGGUGGAAUGCGCAGAUAUCAGGAGGAACACCAGUGGCGAAGGCGGUUCUCUGGACAUUAACUGACGCUGAGGAGCGAAAGCGUGGGGAGCAAAC